AGUUACCAAAAAAUUUGUGUGUGUCAAACACAUCAAAGUUUUAUUGCCAAAUGUUGUUUGGCAAUAUAUUCCAAAUGGCUAGUUUUGGUAAAUGUACAUUUUCAGGAAAUUCAGGGUUGUUUGUGGCAAAACAUGUCCCUCUGUUUGUGUCCUGCUACAUAAAUAGCAUCAAUCAAUAGCAUGUCCAGUAGCAGGGCUGUUGUUCCCUAAUCUCAGUAUUGCCACAGUAGUGCUGCGAUAUUUAGGCCUAACAGAUGGGUUUAGGAAUGGAAGGAGAAUUCCUGUUUCCUGUAAGGGCUAUGAAUGCUGACCCUUUUCUCUGUCUGCUGCUUUCCUGUGCGCGCCAUGAAGCUGUUUUAUUUUUCUCCCUUGUUCUUGGUCUAGCUGUUGCUGCUGUGGGUUUGCAAUUUGUGUUACUAUGUUUUUGUAGAGUUCUAGUUAUGGAUCACUUCUGCUGUGGCAAAGUGUCAAGAUACAGUUUUCAGUUUAAAGCUUCAGAAACUACAUUCACUGAAAUCAGCGUAGGUGAAACUGAUCUGGCGCGUGCAGCUGUGCUCGCAGGGAUGCUCAGUGGCUCCCCAUCAGAGCAGCAAGGUGUGUGUGGGCAUCCACAGGCUUGUGCUCGGGGUCUGAGAGCGUGCUGUGGUUUUGCUGUUGGAAGAUGGAAUAGAGCGUGUGCCUGUUAAAUCUAAGGACAGUCAAAAGCUGGGAGGGGCUGUAAGCAGGUUUGGUGGCACAACUGCAGUUUUAAAAGAUCUUGACUGUUUGGAGAAACAGCCUGGAAAAAAUAAUUCCGUUUUUGCAAGGAGGCAGUUCACAAGGACAGAUGGGUUGCUGUACUCUUUAACAAAAAUAUCCAACUCGGGAUGUAUAGGGUGAGGAAAUCUUGGCUAUACGUGGGCUUGAGAAAACGUAUGUAGAUAUUUAUGUCUGUCACCAGUGUGUAUCUGGGAAAGUGAGUUGUAGUGAAACUAAAGCUGCCAAUGAGUCAAAAAAAGGCAUGGUUGUCUAAAGAAUGCAAAAGCUCUAGUGGCCUGUAUCAACAACUGUACCAAAGAUGAUGCAAAAUACUUUUCCUCCACUCAGUUGUGGUCUUCACACACCUCCACAAAAAAAGGAAGCUUUAGAUUCCUACCCAGCUUUAUGCUAAAGGGUUUUUUUUCCCCUCUCAGCUGAAUGUCAGCUGCCACCAUUUCACCACAGUCACCCUUUCUUCUGCCAUGAAAGUACAAGACAAGAUGGAAAGAAUCCAUAGCGGUCUUUAAGUACAAGGCUUUCCCAAGAAGCAUUAGCAGCCCUGUAACUAGUGACAGUGAGUCCUGAUGUGUUUUUGCUUUAUUGACCAGGCAAGAUGUGCAGCGGCGCAAGGGCUGUAGCUGUUGUGGUGGAUCUGUAAGUGUAGAGUCUGAUGAUGGUAUGACGUUGUCCUGCAGCCUCACAGGGUUAUCUCCCUGCAUCACUGCUGUAAGGAAGGGAUGAGACAUUUUCCAGCACCAGCAAGAAUGUUUACUUUUAUGCUAAGAAUGUGUUCAAAAUCGUAUCAAUUAGUCUUAAUACUGAUUUUAAGUGUUCAAAUGACUCUAGCUUUUAAAGGAUGCGUUGUAUUUUGAGCUGACCUGUUUACCUAGAAUCCUCCUUUAGCUCAACUACUAUCCUAUCUACUUCCUUCUGUGUUAUUUUUUAAUAUGCUGAAAUAUAGUUUGGGAUUUCUGUUUUUCAGAUGCGGUGGUGUAAGUGUCUUGUGAUGCUCAAUAGAUUCCCCCCCCAGCCCAGCUUUGCCUGCCGGUGGCUAAGAAGACUCACCGUAAGGGGCCGGCCCUGUGUCUGGAGGCUCCCGGCUCUGUCUGCAGCGGGUGCCCCGCAGGUGCGGCAGCAAGGGCUGUGUUGGGGGGGAGAGUCCGGGGCCGAGAG